GCUGCUGUAACUCAGACGGUAGAGUACUUCCUUGGUAAGGAAGAAGUCACGGGUUCAAGUCCCGUCAGCAGCUCCA
rnacentral:tRNA from 1 species